rnacentral:lncRNA from 1 species
GGAAUACGAAAUAUAAGUUCUCUCUACUCUCUCUCUUCGAUGAAGGAAUACGAAGCAUCGGAAGCUGCCAUAUGAGAGACUAAAUGAGAGAGAAACCCUGUGUUAUGUACAAGGCACGUUAAAGAAGAAACAAAACAACCAGAAUCAGACAUAUCAGACUUCUGAUUGACAAAAAUGUUCGAAUUUCUUUGCACAAAAGGUAUGUAACUCAUCCU